GCGCCCAUAGCUCAACUGGAUAGAGCAACAGACUACGAAUCUGUAGGCUGGGGGUUCAAAUCCCUCUGGGCGCGCCA
rnacentral:tRNA from 1 species